UAACAGUUGAUAAAUAUUUUUUAUUUUUAUCAAGAAAGGGCAAAACAAAUUAUGUUCCCUCAGUACAUUUGGUCUUUCCUCUCAACCUUACAAAUCAGAUUCUGAUUCUCACUGAAUUGAGUGCGAUCCAGACAAAGGUUUGUUACUAUUUGCUACUUUAUUAAAUGCUUCAUCAUGAGGUCUUCAUGUGUUUUCCGACCACUAAAUUUCACCAGAGCAAACCCACAAUUUACUUCAAAACCAUCACAAGAGUUUGCUGGCCUUGACCUCUUGAUCAUUUGUUUGAGAUUUUUAUACUAACCACACAUUUCUGGGUAAGUGAGCACACAUAUCCAUGCAUUUCUGCAAUAUUAUGGUAAAAGUCUUGGUCAAGUUGUUUUCAGAGGGGGUGGGGAAGCUGUAUUUUUAGUAUUCAAGUGACCCCUGGGUCCUGGGUAAAAUGCAGAUUGCAAAAAAGAAGACAUGACCAAUCCUGGAACUUUGGCCUUUGGCCCAGAAAUAUAUCUUGAUGGGUCUCUGGCCGAAUUUCCACAGCAAUUCUUAGCACAAUAAAACUGACAACCAUGAGCUUUUCUCAAAUGUUUACACUGUAGUUUCUUAACAACAUGUGAACACAAUUGAAGCAUUUAGAAAUAAUCUUUGGAUUCUCGAAAUUCGCAAACAUUGGUCUGACCUUGAAGAAAGGGGUAGGCAAGGAAUUUGGAAUUGCUAGCCUGGAAUAACUGAAUUAAGUGAGAAUAAGAUGUCACCUCCUCGAGGGCAACUCGAUCCUUUUCAUCACGACUAGCCUCUUCAUGUUUGUUGUAUUUCACAGGGACGUCCAAGCCAGCGUGGAAGAAUGAAGGACCGCACCACCAGGCAGAAACUAAAGGGAGCAACCAGGAGAAAUGUGUCUUGUGUUGGAAGCUACGCAAAACGCCAGGGAGGUGUGUACUUCUUUGGGGAGCCCCGAGUGGAUGCUUUCGAGGCCUGAUGUUUUCGUGGCUCGCUUUGAGACACCAUCGCAAAUGACCUUGUUCUCUUCGUUCAGACAUGUCUGCUUUUCUCAUCUAUCAGAAUGUCCUCUUUCAGAGGGCUGGGACUGUCCCUGGAUUUCUUCAGCCGUGCCGUAGAACCUUGUUGAACGAUAUGAAAAAGGAGAUAGUCGAUAGCAUUUGGGAAAUUGGGUUGUACGGUAAAUGACUUAAAAGAUGCAUAAAGUCUUGCUCUAGAGCAAGACAGUCCUAAACCCUUCUUUCACUUUUGACAUUUAAAUAAAAUACUUAAGAUCACUUUGCAUGUUUACAUGUAAGUUUUCCUUUAUUUAAUCACCAUAUGUAAACAAUUUGUUUCCUGGUAUCUGUAGUUUCUCUUUCCUCCUCUCAAUUGAACUAAUAAAUUGUAAUGAGGUUUUGUGUC